rnacentral:rRNA from 1 species
AACGAACGCUGGCGGCAUGCCUAACACAUGCAAGUCGAACGAUUGCCUUCGGGUGAUAGUGGCGCACGGGUGCGUAACGCGUGGGAAUCUGCCCUUAGGUUCGGAAUAACAGCUGGAAACGGCUGCUAAUACCGGAUGAUAUCGCGAGAUCAAAGAUUUAUCGCCUGAGGAUGAGCCCGCGUUGGAUUAGGUAGUUGGUGGGGUAAAGGCCUACCAAGCCGACGAUCCAUAGCUGGUCUGAGAGGAUGAUCAGCCACACUGGGACUGAGACACGGCCCAGACUCCUACGGGAGGCAGCAGUGGGGAAUAUUGGACAAUGGGCGCAAGCCUGAUCCAGCAAUGCCGGGUGAGUGAUGAAGGCCCUAGGGUUGUAAAGCUCUUUUACCCGGGAAGAUAAUGACUGUACCGGGAGAAUAAGCCCCGGCUAACUCCGUG